GUAUUACCAUAUUUUAUAUAACCUCAUAUGUAUGGAAAUGCCUCCAAUUUUCAUGGAUAUAUUCACCUAAGCAUUAUAUAUAUCUAGUUGGUUCGAUUGCAAUCUCAUAGGUUAACUUUAACAUUUCUAAAUGAGUGAUGAGUAGUACUAGAAUCCCAUUUGAAGAGCACACAUUUGUGUGCAACCAACAUACACAAUCCAUCUUCAUGUAUACUCCAGUUACACACUUCAGAUGCACUGUGACAAAUUUUUGUGUCAUUCAAGUCAAACAGAUUGAAAAACCCAUGUUUUUCGUCUAGUUUCAUCUCACAAGAAAGGGUAUUAUUUACUCCGCGAAGAAUGUUUCCAUCGUAUUCAUAAGUCUCUCCUGAUUCCAUCGCGAAGCUCCCUAUAUCUUCUCCGUUUACAUAACAUCCUGCGUUCGCUGUACUUGGUGUUUCAUUUGUCAUCCUAACAACAAAAUAAUCAUCUAUGGUUUGUGAAUUGAUCAGUGAUGAAAAGCUAAGUAGGAAAAGGCAAAGUACUAAGUUAUAUUGUGAUGAGGAAGAAGACAUGGUGAUUUUUUUUUUGUGUGCAAGUGUGUGUAAUUUCUUGUUAUGUUUAUGGUUUGCUUGUUGAUGUUGGCCCUUAUAUUUAUAGUGAAUAAUGUGUGUCAUGUUGCUUGUAUCAACUACUUUCAUUAAUGAUAAUAGUGAUUAAUAUCUUCUUAUAUUGGUACUAUUUGAUCUUAAGGUCUUACCAAAAAGUCAUACCAACUUGAAGAUUUUCUAUGACUUUUUUUUUUACGAGUCUUGAAAUAAUUGGUAAAGUUGUUGUCAAGUGAUUUGUCGGUCACGGGUUCGAGUUGCAGAAACAGCCUCUUGCAGAAAUGUAAAGUAAGGUUGCAUCCAAUAAACCCUUGUGGUUUGUCCCCUCCCUAGAUCCUGCAUAUAGCGAAAGCUUUAGUAUACCAUACUGCGCUUUUUGUUCAUCUUUUUUAUGUUAACUUUGUAUGUUAUUUAUUUGUGAUACUGUUGGUGAAUUUUAACCUAUAGUAGUAGAUUGUCUGCUUAUCUUUUAGAUUUUAAUAAAAAAAUAGUCAUAUAUAGGAGCUAUUCUUCAACUAACAGUCAAAACAAAAAUAUAAUUUAAUACUACAUGUGAAGGGAGGAAAUGUGGGGUAAGGCAACGUGAAAUAAGCCUUGUAGUUGGUCCUUUCUCGAAUUCCACGCACAAUAAGAGCUUUUGCAGAUGUAUUUACUGUUUAUCUCUGUGUAAUUGUUACUCAUAUCGGAUUGAAAAAAUUAGCUCGUAUAAACAUGACAUGAAAUCCGUCAAAUUAAGUUCACUGAUGGGCGCGCAAUGUGGCACAUGGUUCCCUGUCUUCUUCCCCUUCUUCGCUUCAUAGCUUUCCUUGCUUGCGCGCGUAGCCAAUUUGUUUAUUCAUGUCAUAGUACUUGUUCAUCUGAUGGAGAUAUGUUCUCAUCGUGCCUGUUAUAUAUCCUCAUUCUUCCCCACAGGAUGACAUAUAUGUAGAGGCCUACAGUAAUCAAAGCGCAACACCUAGUUUAGGCCUUUACGUUGUCCUGUGGAGGGGGAAAUAUGAGGAUAACAUGAGUGAGGAGAACAUUUCUCCAUCAGAUAAAUUAACACACACUAACAUAUGAACAAGCGGGCGAAGAGGAGAAGGAGGAAGACGAGGUGAUGACAGCCAUGGGCCACCCCGCCCGUGAACAAACAAUUCGUCACCUAUACAGAGUUUGGUGCACCGGAGUCACAUAUCCAACCUCUCCAGUUGUCACCAAGUAAUUGGUUCCCAAAAAAAUCGAUGUCCAUAUUGUUGGACAAUAAAAUUUCGACACAAGAAAAUAUUGUUAAAAUAAAUUUUAUUGAUUUCAAUGCGAGUGUUACAAUCUUUAUGAAACUCUGAUUCGCCUUUUCAAAUAUAAAUUCGAGGGCUUAAAGCUUAAUCUUGAAUUUGAACUUGAUUUGAUGAAUUUGAGGAAUUUGAUAUUGACUUGUGCUUGAAUUCAACGGUUUUUGAACUUGUUCUUGAAUAUUGCGGUCUUGAUUUUGAAUCUUGAUGAACUUUUGAAUGCUUGAACUUUUUAGAGAAAUUGCAGCGUUUGAUCCACGAGCUUUCUCUUGCUACUUGUUAGAGAUUUGGGGGUCUUUUUCAGAAUUAUGAGGUCUCUAUUUAUAGUUCUGAAUUAUGAGGCCGCUAUUUAUAGUUAUAGGAAAGGAAGAGUCAUGAUGAAUAUGGACUUCCUUUGACCAAUCAGAUUUAAGUGAUGUGGCGCCUUUUAUGGGUUUUUAUUUCAUGGGCCUGCUGCAUCAGUUUGACAUGUGGCACGGUCCUAUUGGCUCCUUCACUUGACUUGGCAUGCCACGUCAUUUGACACGUGGCGCUUAUUUGGGCCUCUAGAAUAUGACAAUUUCACUUGACUUGGCAUGCCACGUCAUUUGACACGUGGCGCUUAUUUGGACCUCUAGAAUAUGACAAUUUCUUGGGCUUAGUAAAGUGGGUUCAUCAUUUGUAGCCCAAAUUAAUGGACUAACCCAAUAAAUAUUGGGUCUUAUUUAAAUCCAUACACAUUUGGACUUAAAUAAUUAAUUCAAUUAUAUUAAUUCGCAAUAUUUAUUUAGGACUAAUAUGUUUUGAAUUUAUUAUAAUCCAAAUUUUAUACAGAUUUAAAUUUAAUAAAAUUGCAUCACCCAUAAUACCCCUACUUCAAAAUUUGUCGAGAUAUUUAAUUUAUCGAUGACUAAACUUGAAGUAUUAACUGAUAAUAAUCAAUGCAUGCAUACCGUAAAUGAGAGCGCCCAAACGCUAAGGGAAUGCCAAUAUCAUACGAACAAGGACAUAAUUAAUAAUUCUUUAUCAUAAUUAUGUCUUGUACAAUAAUCCUAUGCAAUUGGAUGUAACUUUGGCCCACUGUGAAUAUGUCUCAUUAUUUCAGUAGCCUGCAAUCCAUGCAACUAAAUAUUUCACAUCCACCGUCCCCUCUUUUAUUGGCUCACGUGAGAAUUUGAUUCCCUUUUCAGUUGGGAAUGCUCACGUAGCACAUAUAUAUAUAUAUAUAUAUAUAUUUGGUAAAAGGACAAUAGUUUGAUUCCAAGUAAAAGACCACUGGUGAAAACCAAAUUUGUAUAGAAUUUGUCAAUUUGUGGCUCUCAACCACCGCCUCCCAAAUUCUAUAAAUAAGGCGCAUGUCUUCUCAUUCUUUAUUGAGUUCUCAAGCCGUGAGCAUUAAAAUUUUUUUGUUUGACGAGUUUGGUUGCUGUGCAAUCUGAACGGUAAGUAAUUCUACCGAUUACUUUUGCUUCUCUUUGUUGUCUUCUUUUCUUUUUCUUCCUUUUUUUGUUCUUUGUUUUCUUAUUCUUUUGUAGGGUUGAAAAUAAAUAGCAAUGCGCAUUAAUGGUGGCCAUCGGCUUAAGGUGCGAGAGUUUAACUUCGCCUCCAUUACCUUAAGUCUGACCAAUUUUAUUUGAAGAUGGUGAACAUUGGCUUAAGGUGCGAGAGUUUAACUUCACCUCCAUCACCUUAAGUCCCUUAAGUCCGACCAAUUUUACUUGAAGAUGGUGCAAUGAUUUUCCUUUCACCGAUGUAUUUAUGCGAUAAUCUUCUCUAAGUAUGGGCCCUUUUCAAUGUUCAGCUUAAGGCGUGAGAGUCUAACUUUGCCUCUCUUACCCUAAGACCUGACGAAUUCGACUUCAAAUAUACGUGACUAUAUUUCACCAGAGCCAAACACAUGAAGAACCUUUUUUUCCUUUGUCUUUUUCUUUGCCGGUAUAUAUAUAGAUUUUUUCGAAUCUUGACUUCGUGUCUAAUAGAGAUUCUUUUAUUUAUGCAGCUUGAAGAGAUGGUUCGCUUUAGAGACUACACAUCUUCAUCCUCUAAAAGCAAGUAUCUUCUAAUUGAAGCCGAUGACGGUAUCAUUUUAACCAGGCUAUUGACUGAAACUCCAAUGGUAGGCAGGUAUGCAGAUCCGUGGCCACCCUUGCAAAAUUCUCUCCAUAUGUCGGAUUGGACUUCAGAACAUGACAUUGGUGCUAAUUGUUUUGCGGAAAAAUUUUAACUUUUUGAGAGUCGCCACUUAAUUUUGAAAAAGGAAUUAAGAAACCUUUAAAGAGUUACUUCAAACGAUUCAAAACAGAAAAAUCGUUUUAAGUUUUAAAGAUUCCGAGUAAGUGGUUCCUAUUAACGUUUUAGGAAGUAUUAGGCACCUAAAACGUCCGCUAACUUGCGGUUAUCCGGACUGUUUGAAAACAUCUUUUGAUUAACUUCUGAAAAGAUUAAUUUGUUGAAAUAGUGAUUUGAUUUUUUAUUUUUUAAAAAAAAACUUGUGUAAAAUAGAUUUAGGCGACUUAGUAGGGAUUUUAACUAAAUCUAAACAAAACUAAUAAACAAAUAAACACAUAAAAGGGGAAGGGAGGACCAUUGGGCCCAAAUCAACGAGACCUGUCCUAGUUUAGUUGGGCUUCCGAUCCAUUUCACCUGUUCUAAACUAUUUUUCGAGCCUUUGACUCGAGUCUUGCUCCACCUAUAUUAAAUACAACUUUGGCUUCGAGGCCGAAAUGAAUGAAUAAAUAAAUAACUAAAUGAAUAAAUAAAAAGAAGACAAUAAUAAAAAUUGAGACUUUUCAAGUCUCUUAGUGACCCCAUCAAUGGGUUUUGAUCCAUUUUCCUUCUUCGUCUAUCUUCUAGCACCCGCACGCCAUGUAAUGGACCUCAGGUUUAAAAUUCGAACUUGACUCGAAGGGGUAGACCUCAUUGGCCCAUUACAAAAUGCAAGAGGAGAGGAAUCCAUUUGGCCUCGAGAUAUAUUUUGCAAGCAAAGAAAAGAUAAAGAAAUUAAUAUAUGUUCAAGGUGUAAAAGUGACAUAUUUCAAAGUAAAAGAAACUAUCAAGAACCAAUUUUUGAAUGAUAAGAAUAAACAUACUUGCACAACAAGGAGAGUCAACAAAUAAAAAAUGCAAAGCAAAGACACUCCUUUACAUGCCUCAUGAUUUAUGUUCAUAUUAAGAAUGAAUAAAGGUAAAAGAAGAAGGUCAUAUUCAAUGAAUUAAUGCGAGAAACAAACAACGUAAGCUUGCGAAAUUAAAGGGAUGAGGCAACAAGAAAAACACUCAUGAUUUCUAGAAUUGAACAAACAUAGACACCAAUCCAUAUAACAAAAGAAAAUAAAGNNNNNNNNNNNNNNNNNNNNNNNNNNNNNNNNNNNNNNNNNNNNNNNNNNNNNNNNNNNNNNNNNNNNNNNNNNNNNNNNNNNNNNNNNNNNNNNNNNNNNNNNNNNNNNNNNNNNNNNNNNNNNNNNNNNNNNNNNNNNNNNNNNNNNNNNNNNNNNNNNNNNNNNNNNNNNNNNNNNNNNNNNNNNNNNNNNNNNNNNNNNNNNNNNNNNNNNNNNNNNNNNNNNNNNNNNNNNNNNNNNNNNNNNNNNNNNNNNNNNNNNNNNNNUUUAGCAUUUCCAAAAUUGAAAUAUCAUUUCACAAUCAUACUAUGCAUGACUCGGAAAUAUCUAAAUAAUUCUAUUUAGCCACAAAAAUUUGAACUUUCUCAUCAUUUUGACAAAUUUUAAAAACAUACGGGAAAAAAGAGGAAUAAAUAUUGUGAAUGGAAAAUAAAGCUAGCACUUCAUCUCUUAUAUGAAGAUUUUGGAGAUUCCUUAAAAUAAUUAACAAGCAAAUGACAAAUUCUUGAUUUAAUCAAUUACUAUUUUUAUGAAGGUGAAAUAAAUAAUAAUAACUAUUCUUCCAACAUAAAAUAAACUACUUUACACGCUAAAAUAAAUAUAUCCGCUAACAAUGAGUUUAAACAAGACAUGGGUAUUGUUUUUCAAGUAAAGAUCUAAACUUUAUCCAAAAUAAUCAAACAAUAAAGUAAAAAAAGAAGAAACAAUCAAUAUUAACGAUUCUUUUCAACAUAAAGAAAAAUACUUUACAUGCUAAAAACAAACAUAUCCAUCAACAAUGAAUUUAAAACAAGACAUGAGUAUAUUUUCAAACAAAGAUCUAAACUUUAUCCAAAAUAAUCAAACAAUAAAGUAAAAAAAGAAGAAACAAUCAAUAUUAUCUAUUCUUUUCAACAUAAAGAAAACAACUUUACAUGCUAAAAACAAAACUUUACAUGCUAAAAACAAAUAUAUUCACCAACAAUGAGAUUAAACAAAGCAUAAGUACAUCUUUUAAGCAAAGAUUGAAACUUUAUCUAUAAUAAUUAAAGAAUAAAGUCAAAAAAGGCACGUACAACUAUUGCUAGCUCAUUUUUAUAUCAUGAAUAUGAAAAUAAUUAAAAUAUCGCUAUCACAACGUCCUAUGGCCUUUAAGCCAUCUAUAGCAAACAAAAUUAUAACUACGAAGAAAAAAAAGAUGAAGAGAGAAAAAAAAUGAUAAUAAAACUUAAAAAAAAAAAAAGGAAAGAUGUGUUUACCUUUUUGGGGGCACCAAAAUGAAACUACGAGAUUCGUCGGAAUCAACCACAACCGAAAAACGUCGCCGGCAACUUGAAAUUUUUUAUUAGCCGACCAACUCUAUGAAACAAAAUUUUUUACAAAAUAAAAAUAACUAUUUUGCUCAAAAUGAUUUUUUCACCUUUCUAGCCUUUUUUUCUUACUUUUCCACCCUCCUUCUCUACCAAAGUAGUGGUAGUAUUUAUAGGAGAGAAUAGGGUGUUUUCUUCUUUUCUCCACCAGUGUGGGAGAAAAAUAUUUAUAGGGAAGGAUAGAGAUUUAUUUCUUGUCAUCCACCAAUGUGGGAGAAAAAACAUUUAGGGGUGCUUUUGGAAUGUAAAAAUUGAAGUAAGGUGACGUGGAAGAUAAUGUGGGGGAAAAUAGUACAAUAUAGUACAAUCUUUGAAUUUCAAAAUUAGGAAAGGACAAAGUUGGGGGGAAUAGUGCAAUGUAGUACAAUUUAAAUUUAUUUUUUUGUGGAAAUUGGGUAGAAGUUAUGAGAGUUCUUAAAAAUUUUGGGGUUAUUUAAAAUAUAACUCCAAUUAGGAUUUAAAAUUUAGUCAUAUUUAUUUAUUUGACCAAAUUAAAAAUCAAUUGACGAAUUGCAUUGCAAUUAUGACCAAUUUUAUUUCAAUUAUGGCCAAAUCUAAUAGAUUGGCUAAAUUAAAUUAAAAUUCGAUACGAAUUAAUACUUCUUUUAAUUUCGAGCUUCUUAAUUUAAUAAAAUCAAAUGCAUAUUUAUCCAAAUAAAUUAUUUUUGAGAAUAAAUUAUAUUUAAAUCAAGAUUUUAAUCAUUUGAAUUAUUUUCAAGAUGAACACUAAUUAAAAGCCGAUAUUUUAUAAAAUAAAUAUUUAAGUGACAAAUUAUAUAAUCUCGUAUAACUGAACACAAUAAUAUAUAAUCGUUACUUAAAAUGAAAAAAUCACGUAUGAAAAAUAUUUUUUUAAAAAAAUUUAUUUGGAUGAAAUAAAUAUUUUGGUUUUAUUAGAAACUGAAGAAACUCAGGAUUAAAUUUAGCCGUGGAGGGCAAAAAUUAGGUGUCAACACUAAUCGAUUGGUUAAAGUAUGGCUUCUUUGUACUCCCAACCAACGUCAAUUGAAUAUUGUGAGUACCCUUCCUUGCUUAGGACGUUGGGUACUUAAAGGAGAAGUACAUUGGGGGGGUACCAUAGAGAUAACUGGUGAAUAUCGUCAUACUCAAGGAUAUUGGGAAUGGACCGAGGACAUAUUGGCUAGAAGUGCAUAAACCUUGAAGGCAGCAAAAAUAUAUGGUGCCGUUUAAGCUUCACAGCGUACCUAUGAUCGAAACUCGAACAUAUUACAGGCAUUCUUUGAGGCUUGGUGUCCAAAUACCAAUACAUUGCUUACUUCAGUUGAAGAGCUAUCCAUAUCCCUUUGGGACUUAUACAAAAUUGGAGGUCGGCCUAUCAGAGGCCUUUCUUAUGAAGAAGUGGUGCCCGAAGCGAAGGAGCUUACAGGUGUUGAUGAAAAGAAUGAGAAAUUUAUCCCUCGUUCUUGUGAAUCCUUGUUUAUAGCUUUUCAACAUCUUCAAGAAGGAGAGGCUUGUAAUCCGAGAGUUCCUUUAUGCAAGUGGAUAAAAUUUUGGUGCAAAAGGAUAUUAAGAUACGACUCAGCCCCACCGAGGAAGGAGAAAAAAUCUGCUCGCUUGAAGUCAACCGAUAACCCAACUGGGACCAUUCUAAAUGCCGCGAAGUGGAUGUCACGUUUUCUAAACUUGGAGUGAAGUAUUAACAAAGAACCGAUACGUAUUUGGCAGCGUUCCUAUCAUGUUGGUUGUGCACCUUUGUAUUUCUCUCUAGGGAUGGAUUUUUCAUUCGUCCGGGAACUUUUAGAAUUGCAGCUAUGGUGGCAGAUAAGCAAACUUUCAGUCUUGCCGUUCCAGUCCUAUCGAGUAUUUAUAAUGGUCACAAUAAAGUCUACAAAUCUUCACCACUUGAGCAGCUCAGAGUAUCCUUUCCUAUCCAUUAUGUGUAUGGUUGGCUCGCUUACUAUUUUAAGACACAUUUUCCACUUUCUAAUGGACCAUCUGUUCCAUUGAUGACGUCAUAUUUCGUCAAGGGCGGGGCAAGGUAUUUUGAUGGAGAGUUUACCAGAAAAUGCAUCCAUCAAGGUGACACUAUUACUCGGGCUUCCACUAUGCCGCUCCAGGCCGCUCCUUGUCAUUUUAAAGAUGAUGAUAAGGGUGACGAGUCAGAGAUAAGCUAUUUCAUGAGCCUCCGUUUUAACUUACUCCCUUUUAGAUAUGGAGGUUCAUUCAUACUUGAGCCAUACAGUCCCACCGGUUUAGCCGUCAGUUUGGAUUUUAUCAAGGCCUUCCCGGAGUCUUGGAAGAUGAUAUUCACAGUGCUUCAUUAGAUGAAGGCCUUAAAUUUCAUCGAAUUUGUGCAUUGCAUGGCUUUAUGUCAAAAGCGACUUUCCCUAAAGCCACACCCAAUGUGCGAAGAUAUUUAUCCACACCAUAUAAAUCUUGGUGGGACAAAGUUCAUGGGAACUUUCUCAAAGUUAAUUUACAAUCUUUGGUGAAUGUUGUAGGUCCGAUUAUUGACAUUCCUCAAGAACAUGAUGAGGGUGUCCCAAAUGUGGAUAAGCCUCCAGUUUUGAAAGCUAAGGUAGUAAUUCCAUGCAAAGUCAAGGGACCUCCACAUGCAGAAACUCAGAAAGAGGAGUUUCCUGCCCUGGCUCAAUCGGCUUUCAAUAAACGAACCUUUCAAGAUGAGAGCGAUGGUAGUCACAGAGAUCGUUGUUGGAAGAAGGCAAAACCAUUUUUGGUGAAGCAAAGUGAUUCUAACACCUAUGUGAAGAUUUUUGCUAGUUCAUCAAAGACUUCGCUAGCUAUCGAGAAGGUAAUGACUCAACUCUUCUACUAUUUCACAGUAUAUGCAUUGCCUUUAUAUACCCCUCAUAUUAUGUUUUUCUUUGUAGGCGCAGCCAGACAAUGUCCAGAUUUUGGAAGUUCCUCAUCAAAGUAAGCCACAAGAUAGUAGCUAGUCUGUAGUAGGUCCAGACUCAAGGGAGUUACUUUUAUCAUCCAAAGAGGUUACUUCUAACUCUUGCGGUAAAGUCAAAGAAAAUGCGGAGGCAAACUUUUCCCGGCAACCAGCAGUGACCAUGUCUGUUUUUUAUGGCAAGAAGGUCAUUUCAAAGCUUAAAAAGAAAUUUAUCAUGAAGGCUUAGGCUAGUAUCCAUACUAAACUUGCAGACCUUACUCCAAAUCGUGCUUCUUCUAUCCAAGAUGACAUCGAAGUCAUACUCAAUGACAUGAGUGUAAUGGGGGCAGAUAUUUCCCCCUUACAAGAUUUAUUGGGGUAUUUCUUUGGGAUGGCGACUUCCUAUGACCAAGCACAAUCCGUCCUUGUUGAUAAGACCACAACAAUUAAAAAGUCAGAGCCAUAUUUAAAAUCCAAAGAAUAUCUUGAGCUUGUACUGAGGGAGAGGGAUAAGAAAUUUGAAAAAGUUUUUGCUGCCUGCAAAUCUCUUGAGAAGGCGAGAAAAAAGGUGAAGAAGUUGAAAGCUCAUCGAGAUGCUGCCAAGCAAGAAGCUGCAGAGAUGGAAUCCAAAGUUUUAGCUGCUGAAGAAGAGUUUUCCAAGUGUUCUGAUGUCUCCCUUGCAACAAAAAAAGCCUCAAAGGUCGUAAAGAAUAAGAAGCAAGUCUUAGAGACUGCUUUACAAGAUUUAGUCAAUUAUAAGCUAUACUUAGAUUAGUCUUACGAUAUGUCUUCCUUCAAACCUUCUUGUUGCUUUCUUUUACCUUUUUUUAUUGAGUAGUCGGAUCUAUUAGUCAUAAUGGAAACUCUUUUUAUUUAUAUUGCACAUUUAUUUUAAUAUAUCCUUUGAAUUCCAACCCCAAAAAUUGAUUGCUUAUUUUGAUGCAUUGAUGUCGUUAUAUUAAACUCUGGCUUUUCUCUUCCAAAAUUGUUUCUCAUUGGCUUCACGUCUUUGUCUCACAACCCAGUUGGACUUACAACUUCAAUUUGAAAGCCUUAAGAAUUAAAGCUUUUAACUUCAUAAUUGAUAAUUGCACGUGUGGUAGAUCUAUGCAUCAACUGUAAGCUUUGGGUAUUACAAAUCCUAUCGAAAGAGCUUCCUUUUCUUUUGAUGGGUUGCCCCAAUUGAGCCACAAGUAUUUACAUAACUCCAAUACUUAAUUGAGAUGUAUGCAUACUUAACUUUCAUACGACGGAUCAAAUGGGGACAUGUAUUUUUUUUGACACUCAUGCAACUGAACUCAGAAUGAAAUUUCAAACGCCUACGUACCUCAGUAAAGAGGAUCAAGUCACAACGUAGUUCUGGGUGAGUUUUUUUUUUGUGUGUAUGUGUGUCCUAAGUUUUGCCUUGGCCGCCUCUUUUGUGGUUUUCAACCUAGUGGACAUUUUUUUAUGAGCCAUUCACAGUUUAUACUCUUGCGGGCUAGGAAUGGACAUGCAGUUUAUACUCGUGCCUUAAGAAGUGUCAUCUUCCUUUAAGGAUAGUACCUCUUCAAGAACUUGGCAUUGAUGGGGCCAAUCCUCACACCAUCUGCAUCGACAAGCUUGUAAGCACCAUUUGAAUAUGCCUCUUGUACAACAUAUGGUCCAUCCCACUUUGGGGUGAAUUUACCCCCAGACUUACAAAAAGUAAUAAUGGGUCUUCUUACUGUAAGGACUUGAUCUCCAACUUAGAAACACCUCAAGCGAACCCUUUUAUUGAAAGAAUGAGAUAGCCGGGCUUGGUAACAUUCAAGAUUUUGUUGAGCCUCCAGCCUCUUCUCAGCAAGAGCUUCUAACUCCGCAAGAUGAAACUUAGCAUUUUCUUCAUCGAUGAGCUCUUCUUGAAUAGCUAGUCUCAAAGAAGGUAUUUGACGCUCAAGUGGCAGGAUUACUUCAACUCCAAAAGCAAGUGAGUAUGGAGUUGCUUGCGUCGGUGUACGAUAAGUUGUCCUAUACGCCCAUAAAGCUUCUUCCAUUCGCUCAUGCUAGUCUCGUUUGGAUUUGGAGACGACUUUCUUCAGCAAGUUCCAUAAAGUCUUAUUGAACGCUUUGGCUAGACCAUUGGCGGCAGCAUGGUACAUAGAAGACUUGCGCUGCUUGAAACCAAAGAGAUCGCAGAAUUUGUUCAUCAGUUUAUUAUCAAAUAGCUUUCCAUUGCCAGUUAUUAUGUACUGAGAAAUUCCAAAGCGGUAGACAAUAUUCACUCGGAUGAAAUUUGCAACAUUUUCUUUCUUUACUUCCUUGAGAGCAACAGCUUCAGCCCAUUUCGAGAAGUAAUCUGUUGUGGCCAAAAUGUAUAGGUGUCCACCAGAAGAUUUUGAUAGUGGACCAACAAUAUCCAUUCCCCAAGCAUGGAAUGGCCAAGAUGCUACAGUUGGGUGUAGUACCUCUGGAGGUUGAUGUAUGAAAUUUUCAUGGAAUUGGAAAGCUUUGCAUCUUCUAGCAUAGUCCAAGCAAUCUUUCACAAUCGUUGUCCAAUAAUAUCCCAUCCUUUUAACGUGAAAAUGGAGCUUUGGUCCAGACUGAUGCGAUCCACAAACUCCCGAGUGCGCUUCUUGCAAGGCUUGGAUUGCUUCUUUCUCUGCCAAACACCGUAAGAGUACUCCUUCAAAUGAUCUUUGGUACAAUGUGUCUUUGUAGUAAAGAAAGCAAGGUGCACGAUGACGAAUGUCAGUCUUUCUCCUUGGAUCUUUUGGAAGUAUCCCAUAACACAGGUAGUCGAUGCUAGGUUGUAGCCAAUCUUCUUUUACAGCUUCGAAAACGGUAACAAGGUAUUCAACCUUACCUUUUAUGUCCUCAUCCUCAUUUGAUGGUGGUACUACCCAUUCUUGGCGGAUAGUAACUCGUGUUUGAUUUGGAAGAGUUAGAGUUGAGGCCAAAGCAGCUAGGGCAUCAGCAUGCUUAUUUUAUUUCCUUGGCACAUGCUUGAGGGUUACUUCUCCAAGACAUCCCAUCAACUUCCGUGAAUAAUCAUGAUAUGGUCUUAACUCAGGCUUCUUGACUUCAUAACUUCCUAACAACUGCUUUAUCACCAAUUGGUAGUCACCAAAAACUUAUAAUUGCAGUUGCUUCAUGUCGACAGCCAUCUCUAGCCCGAGUAUGAGCGCUUGAUACUCGGCAACAUUAUUGGAGCAACGAUUCAUCAAGGUAAAAGAGUAGGGGAUGACCUCUUCUUGUGGAGUGACAAACACUACGCCAGCACCAGCUCUGUCUCGAUGUGCAGCCCAUCAAAGUACAUCUUUCAUGGGGAUCUAACUUCAACAGUCAUUGCAUCUUCAUCAGGAAGUUCAUCGCUCAGUUCUCAGUCAUCAGGUAUUGGGUGAUCUGCCAAGAAGUCAGCCAAUGCUUGUCCUUUUACAGCCUUUUGAGGGAUGUACACGAUCUCAAACUGCUGAAAUUAGAGGUACCACCUUGCAAGUCGGUCACUAAGGACUGGUUUCGACAUCACAAACUUAAUGGGAUUUGCCUUGGACACAAAACGAACAACGUGAUAUUGAAAGUAGUGUUUCAUCUUUUGGAUAGAGAAAGCCAAUGCCAGACAUAACUUUUCGAUCGGAGAAUAUUUUAGCUCAUUUAGUGUCAUCAUUCUGCUCAAAUAGUACAAAGAGUUUUCUUUGCCUUCACUAUUUUUCUGAGCCAAUAGUGCUCCGACUGACCUUUCUUGUGCCGCGAUAUAGAGUAUUAGUAUUUUUCCAAGUAUGGGUGCCGCAAGAACUGGUGGCUUCAUUAACUAUGAUUUGAUACUCUCAAAGGCAUUACUAUAAGCUUGGUCAAAUUUGAAGGGAGUGUCCUUCAUGAGAUGGCUAAAUGGUUGAUAUUUUCUGGCCAAGUUUGAGAUGAACCUCCUUAAAUAUACUAGCCUUUCUUGAAGGCUUUUUAACUAAUGAAUGUUUCGAGGCUCGGGCAUCUUUAAAAUUGCAUCGACCUUGUCUUGAUCAAUUUUAAUUCCUCAGUGUUGCACAAUGAAGCCAAGAAACUUUUCGGAAGUAACUCCGAAGGCACACUUCAAUGGAUUCAUCCUAAGCUGAUAUCUUCGAAGUAACUCGAACAACAUUCUUAGAUUUUUUAAGUGGUCAUCUCUCUUACUUGACUUCACCACUAGAUUAUCCACGUAGCAUUACACAUUCUUGUGGAGUAGGCUAUCAAAGAUGUUUUGCAUAGCCCUUUGAUAAGUGGCGCCAGCGUUCUUCAAACCAAAAGGCAUCACCUUGUAGCAAUAAAUACCUUUGGGCAUACGAAAUGCAGUGAGCUCUUCAUCUUUUAGUGCUAUGCGGAUUUGGUUGUAACCGGAUGAACCAUCCAUGAAGGACAUUGCCUCAUAACCAGUGGUGGCAUCAAUCAUCAACUCUGGUAUGGGGAUUGGGAAAUCAUUCGUAGGACAUGCAUUGUUGAGAUCUCGAAAGUCGACAUAAACUCGAAUUUGGCCAUUCUUCUUCCGUACUGGAACAAUACUUGAGAUCCACAUGGGAUAUUUAACUUCACGAAUAAAGACAUCUUCAAUGAGUUUGUUAACUUCAUUUUCAAUAAUGGAACCAACUCUGGCCUAAAGCGCCUUUAAGCUUGCUUAACAGGACGAGCACCAUUCUUGACCGCCAACUGAUGGACCGUUACUUUCGGAUCUAAGCUAGACAUUUCCUUAUAAAUCCAAGCGAAGACAUCCAUAUAUUCUUUCAUUAUAUUCAUAUACGCGAUUUCUUUCUCCAUCUCUAGAAAAGCACUCAAGUAAGUUAGUCUUCGUCUUCAUCUAUUCCAAGGUUAACUUCUUUCAAGGGAUCUAUUGUGGCUUUCACUCCUUCUUCAAGUUGAAGUGGAGUAUCUCCAGCAUCUUUCUCCUCUUGAGGAUCAUCAUCGUUGAUGUAUAUAUAGUGACACCAGAAAGUAUCUUCCAUCUCUUCAUCAACCUUCAUUUGAGAUGAGGCCUCAUUCUCAUUCUGGGCCGUCACAUGAUAUGAGGAGCUAACACUUUCUUCAUUUUCCUCACGUUCCUUGGUAUAAACCACAGUAUGAGCCAUUUCUCUUAACACCUUGUUUCAUGAAACUACCAAUUUCUUCUGCCGCUACAUUCUAGAAGGAAUCAAACUUUGGAAAUCCUUCUGAAUCUUAGGCGAGAAGUGCACUAUCAUAUUUUGAUGACUUUUCCGACACUAGUUACUUCUCUUCUUAUUUAGAGGACCCAACCUCUCAAAUACAAAAGUUCUUACGGUUGAUUCUCCAAGUUGGUUAAAGACAGAAGGCCUUUUGUUGGAUACGGUAGACUCCUCUUCUACAGUGAUGAAAUUACUAACUGCCCUUCUUAUGGAGAUACAAAUUGGAGGUGGUUGUGUGUAUCCUAGGCCUUCAUGUGUCUGCCUUGUUGUACUUUCCAACGAAAGUUUACCUAACCUUGAUGGCUCAUUAGGAUUAUAUCCAGCCUUUACAAAUAACUUGUAUGCUUUUGGGUCGAAGCCCUCCUUUGUCCGCUUCGUAGGGAGUGUUACAUCUUGUGGCGAAUUUUGAGCCACAGCUAGCCUUGAGGAUGGAUUUAUCGCGUUAAUCUUCCUAAUAGGUAAAGUUAUCCCAUUUAGCACAUUAUCUUGGGCAUCAGAUGGGUGAUCUUUCUCUUUCUUUACCUUUGGCAAGUAGCGAAAAACAGGAGUUGCCUUAUUUUUCAUAGGAGCGGCGCUUUCUUCAUUUGAAGUGGAGAGAGGAUUUUUAGUGUCAACCUUUUCAAUAGUCACCAGAUCAUCACACUUGGUAUUAGUGACAUCAUUAACCUUUUUCUCAUCCACAACAUGCUUCUUUAAGUAGAAUUAUGCAUCGACAAAAUGUGACUCAGCUUCAGUGAAUGGCUUGUCAUCGGCAACUAUCUUUCUUUCCACUCCGCCUUCGAGGUACUUUAAGUAUUGGUAGUAAGAGGAUGAGAUAAUUUUUUCCUGUGCACCUAAGGCCUACCAAGCAAUAUAUUGUAUGAAGUUUUGGCAUUGAUUACAUGCAUCAAUGGGUUUGAUUGAAAAUCAUCCGUACGAACCCCCAAUUUGAUACAUCCCAUGGCCUUCUGGCCCUCUUGGUUAAAGCUUUGGAUCAUUAUACAACUUUCGUCCAAUUCGCUAGGAGCGAUGCCAAGUUCCUUCAUCGUUCGAAUAGGCAGGAUGUUGACUCCAGAUCCCUCAUCUAUCAAGAUUCUAGUGAUCUUCUUUCUUAGAAUUUGACCCACCAUGUAUAAGGGACGGUUAUGUAGGGCCUCACCAAGCAGAAGAUCGUUAUUUGUGAAUGUGAUUUUUGUAUCACAUACAUGUGCCUCUUCGCCAAGAGUUUCAGCAAGCUUUUUGGAAGGUGAAGGAACCUCCAUGAGUAGAUUUUCACCCUUUGCCCCCUCUUUGGCGGUAUUAGAACAAGAAGCCUCAAGGUUGACUUAGGCAGUCUGAAACCAACUCGGUAAGAAUUCCUCUAAAGUCACCGGACGCUGAGAUUUUUGGUGGUGAAGCUGAGUCACCCUCGUCUUCUUUGGGAAUUCAACCAACUUCUGUUUCCUUGGUUUCUUUAUCAUUCUCUUUCUGGUUGGCUGCUUGGACAACUCCUUUCGCUGACUCAUCCUCCUGCGUCUGCGCCUCGUCAGCAGAGUCCAACCUUCAUCAUUGCCUUCGUCAACUGAAGACCUUUCAGGCUCUAAUAUUUUUUUAUUAUGCUUCUUGACACAUAUUUAGACUGGCUCAAGCGAGCCAGAAGUAAUAGAGAUUUGAUGAAAACUGGACGUCUCAUCGUCGAAGAAGAUCUUCUCUUUUGCCAGUUGCAUGACUUUAUCUUUAAAGAAAAAACACUUUUCCAGAGGAUGAAUUACGAUUCUAUGAAUUACGAUCCUAUGAUAUUUGCAAUAAUUAGGUUCAUUGGUCCUUCCAGCUUCAUUUGGACGCUUCAUCUCUGGGAGUUCAAUGAGCUUAUACUCAAGGAGUUCAUCAAAAAUCUCAGCAACAUCAGAAUCAAGGAAGAGAUAUUACUUUUCUUGCAUCUCCUUUAAAGUUUUCUGAUUCGGACGUGCUCCAGAAGUCGUCUUCACACUUUACUUCUUGCUCACCUUGGUGGUGACGUUCAUAGGAGACACGUCAAAAUUCAUGGAUUCUUUGUUAUCAUUUUUUGGGACAAACUUACCCCAUUUUUUUGGGUUCUUAUUUAUCCUUUCCCCUUCGAGGGUCAUGAAUAGGCGCUCCUUCCUUUCCAGCAGAAACCAUGAUCAACUCCAUGUCAUGAGCACAAGUAGCUAACUCUUCAAAGGAUUUUGGUUUAAUUCUUUGCAAGAUGUAGAGAAGCCCCCAGUACAUUCCUUGGAAGCACAUCUCUAUUGCAGAAGCUUCACUAAGCCUAUCUUUGCAUUUUAGACUCGCAUUUCUCCAUCAACUGAUGAAUUCGAUGAUUGGCUCAUCCUUUUUUUACCGAGUAUUUGUGAGCUCUAUCAUGCUCACUGGACGCCUUGUGCUAUAAAACCGAUUUAGGAACUCGUGUUCCAAUUGCUCCCAAGUACUAUCGAUGGAGUUAGGCUCGAGAUCUGUAUACCAAUCAAAGGCAUUUCCCUUUAGAAAAUGAACAAACUGUUUGACAAGAUAGUCACCGUAAGUUCCAUCAUUAUUACAUGUCUCGACAAAGUGUGUGACAUGUUGUUUUGGGUUACCUCUGCCCUCAAAUUGUUAAAAUUUGGGGGGUUGAUAGCCAGCAGGUAUUUUGAAGCUAUUUAUUCUUGCGGUGUAAGGCUUGGCAUAUGCAAGAGAAGACUUUGUGACAACAUCAUACUUGUCCUUGAGGGUCCCUUCAAUAAAUUCCCUCAAUUGCCUAAUUGGGAUCAUUCCCUCAGCAGAAACUUGCACCUCUUUAGUCGAUGGUGUUUGUUUCACAGGGUUUUCUAUCUCAUGAACCUCUGGAGAUUUUUUCGGUGCAUGGCCAGAUUCUCCGUCUAUCAAUCUUCCACCCUAUCCACUAUCUUAUCAAUCCUAGCCUCUUGAUUUUGAACAUAGUUGGUCAGACCUUCAAUUGCCUUUGUCAGAUUCGCAAGAUGCUCCUCCAUAGAAGAGGCAUCAGUUACCAUUACUUGCAUAAUCAUCGGAGAUGUUGGAGAGUAACAUGGAUUAUCGCGUAGGUUGAUCUUCGAAGUGCUUAACUUAUGCGGUGUAAGUGGAGAUGACUCAUUUGUUGAACGACCAUCGCUCUUUGCGCUAGAGUAUUUGGAACCAGAAUGCUCAAGUAGAGCAAGAGUCUUCUUAAGCGAUUCCACGACACUGCUUCCUCCUUCUAAAGCACUUGUAUUGAACUUCGUUCCUUUUGGGGUUGAAGAUCCAAAAAUUAGAGUUGGCGCGGACGGCACUAGAUGUGUUUGUUGUCCUAGCAAACCUGCCUUGCUCCUAGUGACAACUCCUAAACUUCCGAAAGUAGCACCAACGAUGCUUUCCACUUCAGCAGAGAACCUUGAAUCAGCAGCUUUGGAAGCAGUUGAUUGAGAGUUGAUCUUCUUGGAAGCCAUUUCAGCGUUCUUAAUCUUCAAAGUCUGAAAAGUUGAGAUGAGAGGUAGAGAUCGUCCCACUGGGCGCGCCAGAAUUUGUUGGACAAUAAAAUUUUGAGGCCGAAAAAUAAAUAAUUCGAGACAAGAAAAUAUUGCAACAAUAAAUUUUAUUGAUUUCAAUGAGAGUAUUACAAUCUCUAUGAAUCCUCUGAUUCGCCUUUUCAAAUAUAAAUUCGAGGGCUUAAAGCUUAAUCUUGAAUUUGAACUUGAUUUGAUGGACUUGAGGGAUUUGAUAUUGACUUGUGCUUGAAUUCAAGGGCUUUUGAGCUUGUUCUUGAAUAUUACGGUCUUGAUCUUGAAUCUUAAUGAACUUAAUUUGAAUGCUUGAGCGUUUUAGAGAAAUUGCAGCGUUUGAUCCACGAGUUUUCUCUUGCUACUUGUUAGAGAUUUAGGGGUCCUUUUUCUGAAUUAUGAGGCCCCUAUUUAUAGUUGUAGGAAAGGAAGAGUCAUGAUGAAUAUGAACUUCCUUUGACCAAUCAAAUUUAACUGAUGUGGCGCCUUUUAUGGGUUUUUAUUUCAUGGGUCUGCUGCAUCAGUUUAACAUGUGGCACGGUCCUAUUGGCUCCUUCACUUGACUUGGCAUGCCAUGUCAUUUGACACGUGGCGCUUAUUUGGGCCUCUAGAAUAUGACAAUAUCUUGGGCUUAGUAAAGUGGGCUGAUCAUUUGUAGCCCAAAUUAAUGGAUAACCCAAUAAAUAUUGGGUCUUAUUUAAAUCCAUACACAUUUAGACUUAAAUAAUUAAUUCAAUUAUAUUAAUCCGCAAUAUUUAUUUGGGACUAAUAUAUUUUGAAUUUAAUAUAAUCCGAAUUUUAUACGAAUUUAAAUUUAAUAAAAUUGUAUCGCCCGCAGACAUAUUCACACCAGACAGAUCUACAAUGAAAGGUUGUGUAGAGCAGAGAAGUAAUGAAAACAUUGUACAUUCAACAAACAAAAAACAAAAACUCUCUGAAAACACAAUAAGAAUGGACUCACACAUAUUGCAGAACAUCAUCCUAAUAGAUCAACCAAUGAGCUGGUUCUGAGCCAGUUCGACUCUCAGUGAAAGCGCCAAUGUAACGAUUUUGCACUUUAUGCACGCAAUUAAUUUGAGCUAGAUCGUUCUGCAGAAGGUGUUGUAUAUGCACUUUGUUUUCUAAUCGGGUCGAUCAUAGUUUUAGCACUUCAUUUAUCAGCUUCUGGUGCUUUAUUCAUGCUGGUUACAUCUAAGCCCUCUGAUAGAUAUUUUAUUUAGAACAAAAGAUUGGUUAUAAUUAUUUAGAAACAUUUCAAGAUGGGAAUGGAGUAACAUUGCCAGUAAAAUUUCAAAGUUCGAAUGGAAUGGAACAGUCAGAUCAAAUACAUAAUCGAGAAUAUAUAGAUGUAGCAUUUUACAUUGUAAAUAGUAAAUUUGACUCGAAACUGCAUGGUCUAUAUAGCGGUAAAACAUAGUGAUAAUGGUCACAGACAUACCUGAACUGUCAUUUUUUCGCGAUUUUCACACCUCAACUAUCAUCUAUUCUGCUCGACAAUAGCCAACUUACAGUAACAUUGUUAAGAAUGAAACCAGAGAAGCAAAUUAAAUUUUCCAUAUAAGUCGGAUCACGAUGAGGUUUUCUUCAUACAAUUAAUUUCUUUUCUGCAUUUUCCAAUUGUGUUUGGUUCGCAAGUAUCAGUAACUCUGUUCACCAAAUUUUAGAACCUUUUUGAAAUUAUAUAUCAAAACAUCUUGAAUAUAUUUUCCCAAAUCACAAAUCAGAUUAAUUUGAUAAUCAUUACUCAUGUAACAUAAAAGUAAUCAAGACAUAUUCACUUAGGUCUUAGGAAGAGGAAGCAAAAUAACAAGAACUAGUAAGUAUUACCAUAUAUUAUAGAACCUCUUAUGUAUGAAAAUGCCUACAAUUUUCAUGGAUAUAUUCACCUAAGCAUUAUAUAUCUAGUUGGUUCACUUGCAAUCUCACAGGUUAACAUUUCUAAAUGAGUGAUGAGUAGUACUAGUAUCCCAUCUGAAGAGCACACAUUUGUGUGCAACCAACAUACACAAUCCAUCUUCAUGUAUACUCCAGUUACACACUUCAGAAGCACUGUGACAAAUUUGUGUCAUUCAAGUCAAACAACUUGAAAAACCCGUGUUUUUCCCCUAGUUUCAUGUUACAAGAAAGGGUAUUAUUUACUCCAGGAAGAAUGUUUUGAUCGUGUUCAUAACUCUCUCCUGAUUCCAUCGCGAAGUUCCCUAUAUCUCCUCCGUUUACAUAACAUCCUGCGUUCGCUGUACUUGGUGUUUCAUUUUUCAUCACAACAGAAAAAUACUCACUGGUGCUUAUUUGUGAAUUCAUCAGUCAUGAAAAGCUAAGUAGGAAAAGGCAAAGUACUAAGUUAUAUUGUGAUGAGGAAGAAGACAUGGUGAAUUUUUGUGUGUGUGUGUAAUUUCUUGGUAUGUUUAUGGUUUGCUUGUUGAUGUUGGCCCUUAUAUUUAUAGUGAGUAAUGUGUGUGUCAUGUGGCUUGUAUCAACUACUUUCAUUAGUGAUAAUAGUGAAUAAUAUCUUCUUAUAUUGGUACUAUUUGAUCAUAAGGUCUUACCAAAAAGUCAUACCAGAUUUUCUAUGACUAUCUUCUUUUACGUAGAAGGGGAGUCUUGGAAUAACUGAUAAAGUUGUUGUCGUGUAAUUUGUAG
rnacentral:lncRNA from 1 species